UGCUAUUACUCCCUUUAGAGAUGGAGGAACGGGGGAGACCAGCCAAGGAAUGUGGGUACCCUAUAGAGGCUGGGAACAGCUUUCAGCCGACUGUUGUUAUGGAAAUGGAAGUCUUAGUUCUACAACCAUAAGGAAGUGAAUUCCACCAACAACCUGUAUGAGCAAGGAGAAAUCUGUCCAGCCUCCAGAAAAGAAUACAGCCCUUCCAAUACCUUUACUGUAUCCUGGUGACACCGGCAUCAGACUUCGGACCUGCAAAACUGAAGAAGAAAGCACAUCUCACCUUCAGUGGUCACCUUUAUUUUGUUACUUAAACGUAAUAAAAUAAAAAGGUUUUAAAACAGCUUCAAGGGAAAGCUUGGAAGAGAGCUCAAAGAGAUUGUAAUCAAUAAGCAUUCAAAUUACUCCAUGACUUCAAUGUUUGAAACAUUUAAAGGCGAAAACAAUGUGAUAUUAGUCCACCAGCAAAUGAACAGAUAAUGAAGAGUCGAUGCACCCUGCCACACGCUCUCACCUCUCUCCAGGUAAUUCUCACUUUGCAAAGAUGCUGGAUCACUGAGAUAUUAAAUAUUUGAAGAAAUAAAAGGACAAAACUAAGCAAAAACAAACAAAUAAAACGCUCCACAUGGAACACGAGGUCAAUUCAGGAAAUGUGUUUGUCUCAGAGCACCAGUACGAUUUCCUCUCAUGUUGAAGUUGUUUUUUUCACUCUGAUUUAUGCUUCUCUUCAUAAUUGAUUUUUUAAAAAUAGAUUCAUUCUCAGCAUUUAAAAUGGUCUGACUUAAAACUCAAAGAAACUUAUCCUUUAAGUUGUUUUGCGCUUGUAACUACUGGAAAGCACGUAUCUUUCUGUCAUUUUUUGAUUAGUUUGCAUACUUUGAUGGUGUCUUUUAGAAAUAAUAACUUGUUAAGAGUGUAAUAGUUCACUUAGUGAAUAGUCUUAACUGUGUAAUACAUUCACAGUUAAAUCCAAUAGUUUAAUUGAAAUAGGACCUAUUUGGAAUAGGAACAAUGAUCACAGACACAUGGAAAAUAUUUCAUGGGGCAGUAAAAUACAGAUAUGAA